UUGAGAAGAUGUGAGUUUCUUCUAAUAUCAGUGUGUUGAAGUGUUGUUUCUCUCUCUCUGCUGGAGUUUGUGUUCACUCGAGUGGAAUAGAGGUUUUUGUACGACCGUUUCAUUAGAUUGUAUCACUGUGGUACACAUUCGGUGGAGGAACUAAACUGGUGCUCGCUGGUCCCACAGUGAAGCCCUCAGUGUCUCUGCUGCCGCCCUCUUCUCUGCAGAUCUCUGGAGACUCAGCCGCACUGCUCUGCCUGCUCAGCUCUUACUCUCCACAGGGGGCGCUGGUGAGCUGGACACUGGACGGGUCAGAGGUCACCGAGGGGGUCGUGACCAGCGCAGAGAGCCAGCGGGACGGCCGCUACAGCCGCAGUAGCGUCCUGACCCUCAGCAAAGCACGCUGGGAAGAGGGAGAGGUGUACGUCUGCAGAGUAACACAUGAUGGAGCUCCUCAUGAGGUCUCGUUCCACAAGAGCUCUGAGUGCUGAUGUUUCUCUCCUGAAGAUGAGCCGUAUCUGAGUGUCCUGUGUCAGGCAGGAUUCACAUGAGUCUAGUGCUGCAGCUGUAGUGAUUUACAACUCAAUACUGAAAGAGAGCUGGCGUGUCAAAGCACUGUGUGAUCUUUCAAUCUGCUGUAACAUUCAAUAAAGCUUCUCAACAAGUUCA